UACGUAGGGGGCAAGCGUUGUCCGGAUUUAUUGGGCGUAAAGAGCGUGUAGGCGGCCUGGAAGGUCAGCUGUGAAAACUCGAGGCUCAACCUCGAGACGCCGAUGGAAACCAUCUGACUAGAGUCCGGAAGAGGAGAGUGGAAUUCCUGGUGUAGCGGUGAAAUGCGCAGAUAUCAGGAAGAACACCCGUGGCGAAAGCGGCUCUCUGGAACGGUACUGACGCUGAGACGCGAAAGCGUGGGGAGCGAACAGG
rnacentral:rRNA from 1 species